GAUGAACGCUAGCGGCAGGCUAACACAUGCAAGUCGAGGGGGAGGUUACUUUCGGGUAACUGAGACCGGCGUACGGGUGCGUAACGCGUAUACAAUCUGCCUUUCACUGGGGGAUAGCCCGAAGAAAUUUGGAUUAAUACCCCAUAGUAUAGUAGUGUGGCAUCACACAACUAUUAAAGCUUAGGUGGUGAAAGAUGAGUAUGCGUUCUAUUAGCUAGUUGGAGAGGUAACGGCUCCCCAAGGCGAUGAUAGAUAGGGGUUCUGAGAGGGAUGUCCCCCACACUGGUACUGAGAUACGGACCAGACUCCUACGGGAGGCAGCAGUGAGGAAUAUUGGACAAUGGUCGGAAGACUGAUCCAGCCAUGCCGCGUGCAGGAUGACGGCCUUAUGGGUUGUAAACUGCUUUUGUAAGGGAAGAAUAAGGGCUACGCGUAGUUUGAUGACGGUACCUUACGAAUAAGCAUCGGCUAACUCCGUGCCAGCAGCCGCGGUAAUACGGAGGAUGCGAGCGUUAUCCGGAAUCAUUGGGUUUAAAGGGUCUGUAGCCGGGCUUGUAAGUCAGAGGUGAAAGCGCUCAGCUCAACUGAGCAACUGCCUUUGAAACUGUUGGUCUUGAAUGGUUGUGAAGUAGUUGGAAUGUGUAGUGUAGCGGUGAAAUGCUUAGAUAUUACACAGAACACCGAUAGCGAAGCAUAUUACUAACAAUUAAUUGACGCUGAUGGGACGAAAGCGUGGGGGAGCGAACAGG
rnacentral:rRNA from 1 species